rnacentral:rRNA from 1 species
UCCAGACUCCUACGGAGGCAGCAGUGGGGAAUAUUGCACAAUGGGGGAAACCCUGAUGCAGCGACGCCGCGUGAGUGAAGAAGUAUUUCGGUAUGUAAAGCUCUAUCAGCAGGAAAGAAAAUGACGGUACCUGACUAAGAAGCCCCGGCUAACUACGUGCCAGCAGCCGCGGUAAUACGUAGGGGGCAAGCGUUAUCCGGAUUUACUGGGUGUAAAGGGAGCGUAGACGGUGAAGCAAGUCUGAAGUGAAAGGUGGGGGCUCAACCCCCGGACUGCUUUGGAAACUGUUUGACUGGAGUGCAGGAGAGGUAAGUGGAAUUCCUAGUGUAGCGGUGAAAUGCGUAGAUAUUAGGAGGAACACCAGUGGCGAAGGCGGCCUGCUGGACUGUAACUGACGUUGAGGCUCGAAAGCGUGGGGAGCAAACAGGAUUAGAUACCCCCGUAC